rnacentral:rRNA from 2 species
GAGUGGCGAACUGGUGAGUAACACGUGGGAAACCUGCCCAGAAGCGGGGGAUAACACCUGGAAACAGAUGCUAAUACCGCAUAACAACUUGGACCGCAUGGUCCGAGUUUGAAAGAUGGCUUCGGCUAUCACUUUUGGAUGGUCCCGCGGCGUAUUAGCUAGAUGGUGGGGUAACGGCUCACCAUGGCAAUGAUACGUAGCCGACCUGAGAGGGUAAUCGGCCACAUUGGGACUGAGACACGGCCCAAACUCCUACGGGAGGCAGCAGUAGGGAAUCUUCCACAAUGGACGAAAGUCUGAUGGAGCAACGCCGCGUGAGUGAAGAAGGGUUUCGGCUCGUAAAACUCUGUUGUUAAAGAAGAACAUAUCUGAGAGUAACUGUUCAGGUAUUGACGGUAUUUAACCAGAAAGCCACGGCUAACUACGUGCCAGCAGCCGCGGUAAUACGUAGGUGGCAAGCGUUGUCCGGAUUUAUUGGGCGUAAAGCGAGCGCAGGCGGUUUUUUAAGUCUGAUGUGAAAGCCUUCGGCUCAACCGAAGAAGUGCAUCGGAAACUGGGAAACUUGAGUGCAGAAGAGGACAGUGGAACUCCAUGUGUAGCGGUGAAAUGCGUAGAUAUAUGGAAGAACACCAGUGGCGAAGGCGGCUGUCUGGUCUGUAACUGACGCUGAGGCUCGAAAGUAUGGGUAGCAAACAGGAUUAGAUACCCUGGUAGUCCAUACCGUAAACGAUGAAUGCUAAGUGUUGGAGGGUUUCCGCCCUUCAGUGCUGCAGCUAACGCAUUAAGCAUUCCGCCUGGGGAGUACGGCCGCAAGGCUGAAACUCAAAGGAAUUGACGGGGGCCCGCACAAGCGGUGGAGCAUGUGGUUUAAUUCGAAGCUACGCGAAGAACCUUACCAGGUCUUGACAUACUAUGCAAAUCUAAGAGAUUAGACGUUCCCUUCGGGGACAUGGAUACAGGUGGUGCAUGGUUGUCGUCAGCUCGUGUCGUGAGAUGUUGGGUUAAGUCCCGCAACGAGCGCAACCCUUAUUAUCAGUUGCCAGCAUUAAGUUGGGCACUCUGGUGAGACUGCCGGUGACAAACCGGAGGAAGGUGGGGAUGACGUCAAAUCAUCAUGCCCCUUAUGACCUGGGCUACACACGUGCUACAAUGGAUGGUACAACGAGUUGCGAACUCGCGAGAGUAAGCUAAUCUCUUAAAGCCAUUCUCAGUUCGGAUUGUAGGCUGCAACUCGCCUACAUGAAGUCGGAAUCGCUAGUAAUCGCGGAUCAGCAUGCCGCGGUGAAUACGUUCCCGGGCCUUGUACACACCGCCCGUCACACCAUGAGAGUUUGUAACACCCAAAGUCGGUGGGGUAACC